GGAGGCAACAGUGCCUCUCUAGUCAAAGGACAAGCCCCUAGUGAGAAAGACACUGCCUGCUUACAUCUGCCAAGGGAGGAUUGUGGCAUGGGCCAUGCCACCCCCUGGGCCCCUGUGCUGAGCACUGUGUCCAGAAUGCACCCAGCACAGAAUCCUGCUUGACCUGGUAGCCUGAGUCCGUGAGGCAUGCCCACCGUAACAGGAAGAUGCAGCCAUGAGCCGUCAAGACAGAGGGAGGGGGCCUGGGCCCUGCCCUCUGGAGAAGAGCCCAUGGGGCACGUACAUUCCCACUCUUUCAGCUCCACCUGUUUUCUUGGACCUAAUUUGUUGCCACAAGGAAAGAGCAAGAGCAAAUGGGCAGUGUAGUCUCCAGACUGUGUCCUGCUGACUGCUGAGGGCAAGUGGCUGGAGGGACAGUGGCCACAGAGUGGCCAUCUGGACACACUGGAGACAGCAGGUUCUGGCCCCUGAGAGCUCAGAUGGGACACAGUGGGGCAAUUCCUGGUGAGAUCAACAGAUACGUUCCUGAGAUAAGCUCUCUUUUUCUCGGAAGGGACUGGAUUGAAAGAUACUGACACAAAAGCAGAGGCACACCUCUGGAGCCACCUGGUGUGGUCAGGUAACAAGCAUGAACAAACCUGCUUUAAAAACACAGUACAAGGCUGGGCGCAGUGGUUCACACCUGUAAUCUCAACACUUUUGGAGACCGAGGCGGGCGGAUCACCUAAGGUUAGGAGUUCAAGACCAGCCUGGCCAACAUGGUGAAACCCCAUCUCUACUAAAAAUACAAAAAUUAGCCAGAUGUGGUGGCAGGCGCCUGUAGUCCCAGCUACUCGAGAGGCUGAGGCAGGAGAAUCGCUUGAAGCUGGGAGGUGGAGGUUGCAGUGAGCCAAGAGUGCGCCAUUGCACUCCUGCCUGGGGGACAAGUGCGAGACUCUGUCUCAAAAAAAGAAAAACAAACAGUAACAAUGACAACAAAAUAACAGAACAAAACCAGAACCUUGCCCCAGUUCUGUGCCUUCCUUCCUCUUUCCAUAAAUCCUGUGGCUUUUGUCUACUGCCGGGACAAGGAAUACUUUCUAAAUGCUGCCGCAUUUGUCCUCAGUGAACAACCCCAAAGGUUCAGGGGUGUGCCUCUCACUGCCAGUGCGAAUGGGCGGAACCUGGUGAUUAAAUCUGUGUGCAGUUAGCCAGCAUCUUCCCAUGAGAGUGCUCUCACCCCACACAGUGCAAUGAGGACAAACCAGAAUUCUCCAUGGCAUUUAUUCCAAGGCAAUGACUUUUUCAGCUUCAUCAUAUAUUUCUCUGUCCUUCCUCUGCUCCACCUUACCUCCUUGCCUUUGGGGGUUGGAAGCUUCUAGAGAGAGAGAGACCUAUUAGCUGGCAUAACUCAGGGCAGACUUAAUCUAAGGGCCAGGGAAGGCUGGGGAGGGAAAGACUGAGUGGGUUUGGGAACUGGUGGGAAGGAGGGGGGGU
rnacentral:lncRNA from 1 species